UUGACUGACAGGAGGAAGCUCGCCCUACAAACUACAUCAGGUAAAUAAGCCCAUCAAACCCAGAAGUAUCUGUGAACAGAGAUACGGUGUCGGCGCCAUCACCCCAAGAAUGCUAUGUGCUGGACUACCAAACGGGGGCGUCGACGCUUGUACGGGGGAUAGCGGCGGUCCCUUAUACACAUACAGA
rnacentral:sRNA from 1 species